CCUGGUGGUUUGAGCGAGGUGGUACUACCUGAUCCCAUCCUGAACUCAGUCGUCAAACGCCUUAGCGGGGACGAUACUUAAAGCACAAGCUUUUGGGAAAAUACCUCACUGCCAGGA
rnacentral:rRNA from 4 species